AAAGUAGCCAGGUGUUAAGAGUUUCAAGCCACUGAGAGUUUUAACCCUCUUAAGUGUGUGUUUCUCAUGUUCCUUUACUUACCUGUGCUAGUAGAAACUGCAGGACCUCCUGAAGGCUGAGGUGACAGGCAUAUCAGAGACCAUUUUCAUUUCAUUUUCAUAUGUAUUACACUACUCAGUCUUGUCCUGUAUAAACAACAGUGCAUCAUCCCUGCAGAGAACUGACUGCCGUUUCAGACUUCAGAAGAUGAAGCUGUGAGCUGCUGAAGGGUCAGUGCCACCUAACAGGUUAGGAGGGAGAUCCCAAGGUGCAAACAAAUCUGAGGUGGGGAAAAAUUAGAAUAAACUUCCUGAUAACAAGUUUAGCACUAACUUUGAUUCCUUUUGUGAUCAAUGUACAGCAGUCGAGUAUCUAAAUACCAGAGUCUCAAAUACCAGGGAAGAGUUUCACUGUCUGAGUUGUCUGGAAGUUUUGAACCUGCUUUUGAUUCAGAUGAGAUGAGGCUCAGCCCCAAUUACUUCACCUGGUUCUCUUUUUAGAAAUGCAUCAGCACCAAUGCUUUUAGUCUAGUCUUACUUUCUAUCACAACGUGCAUUCACAGAAGGAAAGCCUUGGCAGAUUCUGGCCCCUCAGUUCAGGAUAAGAAGCACAUCAUCUGCCGUAGAAAAAAAUCUGAGGGAGUUUGUAAUCCUGUUAAGCAACAAAGGAGGGAAGCGUGUUUUAGUUCUGGUAAGUUUUAUUAAGUGCCAUAUAAUAUCUAUCUUAUUCCUUCAUGUUUCAGUCCUUGGAUUGUCAGUGCUGCCACAAGUCUAGCUAUCAAGCUGUCUGAAGUAUUUGUUUGAUUCAUGAAUUUGUGCCUUGGCAGCCUCCUCAAACACUGAUGUUGGUGGAUUUUUAAACUACUGAUACUUUCAAGACUGGCUGCUGAUGCCCGUUCAAUUUUCUUUUUAUUUUUCCGAGAGCACAGUAAUUUUUAGUGAUUUCGGGUUUUUUGUUGUUGUUGUUUUGUUUGUUUGUUUUGUUUUUUGGCUCAUUUUGGAGGAAACUACAAACUGUCCUUCCAAAGAAGGACACCAGUGAUCGCCGAGGUAGCAGAGAAGCGGCGCUGGCGUCGCCUGGGCGAUGGCGGGAGAUUUAAACGGGCGCAAGCGCUGAAAAAGCCCUUGAUCGCCAUGAUUAGCCCUUGAUCGCCGACGUUAGCAGCUUCAGAGCUGCCCCAGCCGGAACCGCAGCGACUGAUAGGGAGGUACAGGUGUGUUUCGGCUCCUUCAUCCAGGGAACACUGAGCUUAACAGAGCAGCCCGGCAGGUCUCGUGUUGGCGGUUGACGCGGCUGACGUGCGGUGGGCGUUGCCUGGGCAACGGCUCUGCAUCACACAGCCCCUGCCUAGGAAAAGCAACGGUGCAUCGCUGCCCAUCAGACACGGAGAGGAGGAGUCAAGGCUAUUCUUACAAAAUCAAACUAAGCUUGAAAAUCAUCUGUUCACAGGAUGACAAAGAACUGGAAGAUUUUCAGAUGGUUCAUGAGAAACACAGCAGGAGCAACAGUAAAACAUUAAUUUGUUCAUUUCAAGAGAUCUGCUGCUCUGCUGAUAGUGUCACAAGCCAUAUUUGCAGCUGAACAGCAGGUCCAGGAUUGUGCUUCCCCCUUGUUGGCUCCUUCACCAGCUGCAUCAGGAAGUUAUCUCCCACAAACUCUAGGAACCUCUAGGACUGCUCCCCAUCUGCUGCUGCACCCAACCAACUCUCACAGGGCACAACAUGGUCACUGGCACAGCGCUGUGCCAAAUCUGGGAAGAACGGAAAGGUCUUAAAGGAGUUCCUGGCAAUGGGAGGUACGUUUUCAGGGCCUCAUGGGCAGAAUGAGGUCAGAAAUGCUCCUUUCAGGUAUGGGAAUGAAAGGCAUUCAACAAGGACUCAGCCACGUGUGCACAAACUCUGAGAAGGAAGGAGAGCUCCUCCUACUGUACUAUAGGGCACUGCUCCUCCUUCCUCUCAUUACCUCCUGUCUGGCUCCAGAUGGAGAUGUGAGAAAGGCAAUGACUGUGAUCUUCAUGAUCACAUGGCCUAAGUACCAAUGGGCACAAACUUAAGAUCAACUCAUUGCUUUCAGUAUUACAUAAAUGGUGGAAGGCAGCAACCCCAUUCCCAAGACAGAACCAGCCCUGCUACAUCAUGGCCAUGUUAAAAGGGGCAGCCACCAGCUGCAGCAACUACAGUGCAGCUGAAAUAACCAUGUCGAAAGAGAACACUGCUGCUGGUGGAUGGGUUCCAGAGCCAGCUUGGUGUCACAGCAGCAAAGAAUAAUGACCAGAAGGGCAGAGCCAGCCAGAGUUCUAUGCCCAGUAACCAAGGGAGUCAAGGCUGGGGUGGUCAGGAGCAGCCAUGGGAAUGUAUGGAAGCUGCUCCUCCUGUCCUGAAAGACACACCAAGGGAUACGGAAACAGAAAGCUGGCAAUAAGCUACUGUAGUACCACGCAUUCGUCUACAAAAAAGAAGGAAGUCCUCUACAGCACAGAGAAGUCAACUGAAAACUAAGUCCCACCAUGAAACGAAAAAACUCUGGAAAAUAACGACUGACCAACUAACUGACAAGGAAAACAUUUAAGAAGAGCAAUCCGGUGAGCAGGCCUGUGCAGGGGAGGGUAGGAUAGGGAAGAGGACCAGGAGGCUGCUCCUCCUGUGCUUCCCAUCUGCCUUGCAGAUGGACAGCCCGACACGAAUGGAAAGAGGUGAUCCCAAAGGCAAGAGAUGAAACUCAACAACUGCUGUUCAUGUCCUACAAAAAAAGAUGA